AUUUGCUUCUGUGUAGCUUCCUAGUGGUACCAGCUUUUACGGAACUGGAGAAGUUAGUGGUCCAUUAGAGCGGACGGGAAAAAGAGUCUUCACAUGGAACACAGAUGCUUGGGGUUAUGGUCCUGGAACUACAUCGUUAUAUCAGUCACAUCCAUGGGUACUGGCUGUUCUUCCAAAUGGAAAGGCGUUGGGGGUUCUUGCUGACACAACAAAACGCUGUGAGAUUGAUCUGAGGAAAGAAUCU